rnacentral:rRNA from 1 species
GACGAACGCUGGCGGUGUGCUUAACACAUGCAAGUGGAGCGACGAACCAGGGCUUGCCCUGGGGCAGAGCCGCGAACGGGUGAGUAACACGUGGGUAACCUACCCCGAUGACCGGGACAACCCGAGGAAACUCGAGCUAAUACCGGAUGUGCUCCCCCCUCAUGAGAGGGGUGAGUAAAGGAAGCUUCGGCCUCCGCAUUGGGAGGGGCCCGUGGCCCAUUAGCUAGUUGGUGGGGUAAUGGCCUACCAAGGCUGCGAUGGGUAGCUGGUCUGAGAGGACGAUCAGCCACACUGGGACUGAGACACGGCCCAGACUCCUACGGGAGGCAGCAGUGGGGAAUCUUGCGCAAUGCGCGAAAGCGUGACGCAGCAACACCGCGUGGGGGAAGACGGCCUUCGGGUUGUAAACCCCUUUCAGGAGGGACGAAGGCCGGCCGGUGAAUAGCCGUGUCGGUUGACGGUACCUCCAGAAGAAGCCCCGGCUAACUACGUGCCAGCAGCCGCGGUAAUACGUAGGGGGCAAGCGUUGUCCGGAAUCAUUGGGCGUAAAGCGCGCGUAGGCGGCCCGAUAAGUCCGCCGUAAAAGUCAACGGCUCAACCGUUGAAAGUCGGUGGAUACUG